rnacentral:rRNA from 1 species
GACGUAGGAUGCAAGCGUUGCUCGGAAUCACUGGGCGUAAAGGGCGUGUAGGCGGCUUGGUAAGCGGGAUGUGAAAGCCCCGGGCUCAACCCGGGAAGUGCAUUCCGAACUGCCUUGCUUGAGUCCAAGAGAGGGUGGUGGAAUUCCUGGUGGAACGGUGAAAUGUGUAGAUAUCAGGAGGAACAUCGGUGGCGAAGGCGACCGCCUGGCUUGGAACUGACGCUGAAACGCGAAAGCGUGGGUAGCAAACAGG